UACGGGGGGGGCAAGCGUUGUUCGGAAUUACUGGGCGUAAAGGGUUUGUAGGUGGCCGGCUAAGUCAGACGUGAAAUCCCUCGGCUUAACCGGGGAACUGCGUCUGAUACUGGAUGGCUUGAGUUUGGGAGAGGGAUGCGGAAUUCCAGGUGUAGCGGUGAAAUGCGUAGAUAUCUGGAGGAACACCGGUGGCGAAGGCGGCAUCCUGGACCAACACUGACGCUGAGGAGCGAAAGCCAGGGGAGCAAACGGG
rnacentral:rRNA from 1 species